AUACGGAGGGUGCGAGCGUUACUCGGAAUCACUGGGCGUAAAGCGCGCGCAGGCGGUCUUUUAAGUUGGAUGUGAAAGCCUACGGCUCAACCGUAGAACUGCAUCCAAAACUAUUAGACUAGAGUGUGGGAGAGGAAGAUGGAAUUAGUUGUGUAGGGGUAAAAUCCGUAGAGAUAACUAGGAAUACCAAAAGCGAAGGCAAUCUUCUGGAACACUACUGACGCUGAGGCGCGAAAGCGUGGGGAGCAAACAGGAUUAGAAACCCUAGUAGUCC
rnacentral:rRNA from 1 species